UAGAGGAAGAAAAGGAAAACAUACUUGAUACUUCACCCAACACCACCGACCAUGGGUGCGAGAAAUGCUGCUAUGUGUUUUGUGCUGAUACUUGUGGUGUUUGCGAAUCAUGGUUCCGCAGAACAUAAGUGCUGGGAAAGGACCACUAGGGCUCCGCUCUGUGUAGGCUUUCUGUGCAAGGCGGCAUGCUUGAUUGCAGGCAAAACGUUUAACGCCAUCGUGAAGGAACACAAGUGUGUAGGGCCAGCAUUGAGCAGCUACUGCUACUGCUAUUUCUGCGACAAAUAGUUCAUGGUCAAGGAAAGUACCUCUGGUGUUCCUGAUUUAUUGGUUUAGCAUAUAAAAGGGGAUGAAUAAUUUCUUCUAGUUGUCAACCUUGUUCAGCAAUGUUGUAAUGAUGUGGAUUUUAUAAACAAAUGCAAUAUUACCCCAACAAAA